rnacentral:rRNA from 1 species
AACUAAGCAUAUCAAUAAGCGGAGGAAAAGACAGACUAACAAGGAUUCCCCUAGUAACUGCGAGUGAAGCGGGAAAAGCUCAAAUUUAAAAUCUGGUGGUCUUUGGCCAUCCGAGUUGUAAUUUAGAGAAGCGUCUUCCGCGCUGGACCGUGCACAAGUCUCCUGGAACGGAGCGUCGUAGAGGGUGAGAAUCCCGUCUUUGGCAUGGACACACCAGGGCUUUUGCGAUGCGCUCUCGAAGAGUCGAGUUGUUUGGGAAUGCAGCUCAAAAUGGGUGGUGAACUCCAUCUAAAGCUAAAUAUUGGCGAGAGACCGAUAGCGAACAAGUACCGUGAGGGAAAGAUGAAAAGCACUUUGGAAAGAGAGUGAAACAGUACGUGAAAUUGUUGAAAGGGAAACGCUUGAAGUCAGUCGCGUCGUCCGAGACUCAGCCUCGCCUCGGCUUGGCGUACUUCUCGGCCCGACGGGUCAGCAUCAAUUUCGCCUCUCGGAUAAUGGCGAGGGAAAAGUGACACCUUUACGGUGUGUUAUAGUCUCUCGUCGCAUGCGAGGGUCGGGAUUGAGGAACUCAGCACGCGCCCUCGGGCGUCGGGGCUUUCGCCCACGAUACGUGCUUAGGAUGUUGGCGUAAUGGCUUUAAACGACCCGUCUUGAAACACGGACCAAGGAGUCUAACAUGCCUGCGAGUGUUCGGGUGGAAAACCCGUGCGCGCAAUGAAAGUGAAAGUUGGGACCUCCGUCGUGGAGGGCACCGACGCCCGGACCAGACCUUCUGUGACGGCUCUGCGGUAGAGCAUGCAUGUUAGGACCCGAAAGAUGGUGAACUAUGCCUGAAUAGGGUGAAGCCAGAGGAAACUCUGGUGGAGGCUCGUAGCGAUUCUGACGUGCAAAUCGAUCGUCAAAUUUGGGUAUAGGGGCGAAAGACUAAUCGAACCAUCUAGUGGCCUGGUUCCUGCGAGU